rnacentral:rRNA from 1 species
UAGGGAAUCUUCCACAAUGGACGCAAGUCUGAUGGAGCAACGCCGCGUGAGUGAAGAAGGUCUUCGGAUCGUAAAGCUCUGUUGUUGGUGAAGAAGGAUAGAGGCAGUAACUGGUCUUUAUUUGACGGUAAUCAACCAGAAAGUCACGGCUAACUACGUGCCAGCAGCCGCGGUAAUACGUAGGUGGCAAGCGUUGUCCGGAUUUAUUGGGCGUAAAGCGAGCGCAGGCGGAAUGAUAAGUCUGAUGUGAAAGCCCACGGCUCAACCGUGGAACUGCAUCGGAAACUGUCAUUCUUGAGUGCAGAAGAGGAGAGUGGAACUCCAUGUGUAGCGGUGGAAUGCGUAGAUAUAUGGGAGAACACCAGUGGCGAAGGCGGCUCUCUGGUCUGCAACUGACGCUGAGGCUCGAAAGCAUGGGUAGCGAACAGGAUUAGAUACCCUGGUAGUCCAUGCCGUAAACGAUGAGCGCUAGGUGUUGGGGACUUUCCGGUCCUCAGUGCCGCAGCAAACGCAUUAAGCGCUCCGCCUGGGGAGUACGACCGCAAGGUUGAAAC